AUGCGGGGCUCCCGGUUGGCGACGCUGUGGCUGCUGCUGCCCUACAACCAUCUGACAAUGCUUCCCAGGCAGGGGCUGAGCAGCCACUUCUCUGACCUCCAGCUACAGGACAUGAGCAGGGACCCGCCCAUGGCGCUGCGACCCCAGCUGCUGUGGCAGAGUGCCACUGGGCAUGCUGAUGGACAGGAACAAGAGGCUCCAGGACACAGGCUUGCUGCUGGAGGGACCGACACGGUAGCAGCUCUCUGCACACUCCAGCUUUCACAGUUGCAUCGGUUUCCCCACUCUCCUCGAUAACUUGCUGACGGACCGGCCUCCAGAGAUCCCCAACACUAUUCAUCUUGAAGAGCUGAGUUUUCAAGGAAAUCCAUUGUUUGCUUCUUUGCUUAGUCAUUUAACAUAUAGCCCUCCAACUGGACUGGGAUUACUGGCAAAGACCAGGAGGAUCCAGAAAUAUUUCUGACACUCACUCUUAUCUUCCUGGCAAUCUGCUAAGAUACUUGGAUUCAGCUUGCCAAUUCCCCAAGCUCUAGGUAUACCAGAGUGUGUUUGGACUGCUUUGUCAGAUGAAUUAAGUCUGUGGACUUGUGUGGGAAGAGUCGCCUCCCCCUGUUGCAUUAUCUGUGUUCUCCAGAAUGUUCCUCGCCCUGCAGCUCUUCCUCACACAGCUCCACAUCUCAGAAGGCAUCUGACUAGAAGAUGAAGCCAGCGAUGCUGCCCACCAAAUGCAGAUUAUCCUUCUUGGUUAAGAGAAUUGGGUGUUUAUACAAAUACAAAAACUAAGCAAAGGUGAUUGAAAAAGAAAAUAGAGCUGGAAGUUGAGUGGAAAUCUUAGUGGUUUCAUCUUGAAUGUCCAUGUUGUGAAGGAUUUUGCAACAGGUAUCUCGUUGAAAUUUCAUUUAGCAUUUCAUGUAUUCAGCAUGAUUUAGUCCUAUUCCAGCUUCCGAUUUUUGAGCAUAAUUACUGGUGAAUGACAGACAGUUCAAGCAUCAGCUGUUGGCCAAAAGUUUCAGUUAAUUCUCUGAUGGAAAGCUAGCAGAAUGGUACACUCAGAGGAGCAGUCUCAAUCAGUCUAGAGUGGCAUCACCUGGGACAGCUGGGUUGACUAAAGGAAGACAUCAUGACAGUUGUACUAGCAGAGCUCUUCUGGUUUAGCUGAGUGUUGUUCCCUAAAUAGAAGGAGCCUUCUCAUUAGGUCACCCAUGGGCUUUAGCAUCUGACCAAC
rnacentral:lncRNA from 1 species